rnacentral:rRNA from 1 species
GACGAACGCUGGCGGCGUGCUUAACACAUGCAAGUCGAACGGAAAGGCCCUGCUUUUGUGGGGUGCUCGAGUGGCGAACGGGUGAGUAACACGUGAGUAACCUGCCCUUGACUUUGGGAUAACUUCAGGAAACUGGGGCUAAUACCGGAUAGGAGCUCCUGCUGCAUGGUGGGGGUUGGAAAGUUUCGGCGGUUGGGGAUGGACUCGCGGCUUAUCAGCUUGUUGGUGGGGUAGUGGCUUACCAAGGCUUUGACGGGUAGCCGGCCUGAGAGGGUGUCCGGCCACAUUGGGACUGAGAUACGGCCCAGACUCCUACGGGAGGCAGCAGUGAGGAAUAUUGCACAAUGGGCGGAAGCCUGAUGCAGCAACGCCGCGUGCGGGAUGACGGCCUUCGGGUUGUAAACCGCUUUCGCCUGUGACGAAGCGUGAGUGACGGUAAUGGGUAAAGAAGCACCGGCUAACUACGUG